rnacentral:rRNA from 1 species
GAUGAACGCUGGCGGCGUGCCUAAUACAUGCAAGUCGAGCGAACAGACGAGGAGCUUGCUCCUCUGACGUUAGCGGCGGACGGGUGAUUAACACGUGGAUAACCUACCUAUAAGACUGGGAUAACUUCGGGAAACCGGAGCUAAUACCGGAUAAUAUAUUGAACCGCAUGGUUCAAUAGUGAAAGACGGUUUUGCUGUCACUUAUAGAUGGAUCCGCGUCGCAUUAGCUAGUUGGUAAGGUAACGGCUUACCAAGGCAACGAUGCGUAGCCGACCUGAGAGGGUGGUCGGCCACACUGGAACUGAGACACGGCCGAGACUCCUACAGGAGGCAGCAGUAGGGAAUCUUCCGCGAUGGGGGAAUGCCUGACGGAGCAACGCCGCGUGAGUGAUGAAGGUCUUCGGAUCGUAAAACUCUGUUAUUAGGGAAGAACAAAUGUGUAAGUAACUAUGCACGUCUUGACGGUACCUAAUCAGAAAGCCACGGCUAACUACGUG